CUCGGCCCAGAGACCGCGGGCGCCGGCCGCAGCGAGGAUGGGCGGGUUGGGUCGCUACCUGGGAAGCAGCUGGAAAAGCUCCUGCCGCGGAGGGCCCUUCCCUCAAGGUCCGCCCCGCGUCCUCCACCCGCCGCGUCAACGUCGUCCGUCGGAGACUUGCGGGACGAGGCGGCGGCCGCGUUUCCCGCCGCAGGGCCUGACGCGGACCUGGAGGCAGGGAGCGAAGUCCUGGCCGCGGCCCCGCGACGGCUAACUCGGGCGCGGGGACACCGGGGCUCAGCCCUGCAGAGCGCGCGGGGCGGGCGGCCUGUGCGUCCCCGAGGCCAGAUACCGCCCCUUCCUUCCUUCAGUCGUGGAGCCUUGACGGAGCGUCCGCUGCGAACGCGCGGCAAAGGGACAGAGCCCCUGCCCCGCUAAGGUGACUUGCCCGUGAGGGGACACCGACCAGCACAAAUACACGCAGACGAUGAGGAAAAAAACAAAAGCAAGGCAAUAAAAUGGCGGAGGAGUUCUUGGACCCCAACCUACUUUGGGGUAGGGCGCAGCUACUUUGGGCAGCUAAGUAAGGCCUCACUAAGGUGACUUUUCCUAAAAUAUUUUUCAAAAUCGGAAAGGUAUGACUCAUGCAAAUAUAAAAUGCACAUGUCUAAGGAAUUUGUUCAAUAAUGAUUAAACAGAAUUAUUCUGACACUUGCUAAAACAGCAAGGGAGAAUUUUAUUCAAACUAUUGUAACGGUUAUCGCAAAAGGGGAGAGAGAUUGGGUUCAACUCCAAACACAACAAAGACAGCUAGGGAUUUAAAGCCAAGGAGAGGGUUGGGGGUCAUGGAUGGAAAAUUACUAAGAGGACACAUCAAGGGUAGGGGAUUCUUCCUAAAAAGGAGGCCAAGGACUUAGACAGCAAAGGUGAGAAAUGAGGGACUUGAUCAGAUGUCAAGUGUGAGGGGAUUCACACUAAACUGACUUAGCAGGACUUUUUGCUAAGACUGGGCUGGACAGGCCAAAGACAGGUUGGGGUCCAAGGUGGAGGCCUAGUCUAAAACAGGGAUCAGAGGAGCCUGACUAAAGUUUGGCCAAGGAGAGAGUUUGUUAAUGAGUGACCUGAAUAAUGUUACAACCAAUGCAAAGGAGAAUUUCAAGAGAUAUUUUUAAAUAAUCAUUCAACCAAAGGAAUGCUGAAAAGAGGUUGCUAACAGGUGAAAGGUUAAUAUCCCAAUGGUAAUAAACAGUGAUGUUUGAAGUUG